rnacentral:rRNA from 1 species
UGCUGCAUGGUUGUCGUCAGCUCGUGCCGUGAGGUGUCGGGUUAAGUCCCAUAACGAGCGCAACCCUUAUCGUUAGUUGCCAGCGGGUAAUGCCGGGAACUCUAACGAAACUGCCGGUGUAAACCGUGAGGAAGGUGGGGAUGACGUCAAAUCAGCACGGCCCUUAUGUCCAGGGCUACACACGUGUUACAAUGGCCGGUACAGAGGGCAGCUACCUGGAGACAGGAUGCGAAUCUCCAAAGCCGGUCUCAGUUCGGAUCGGAGUCUGCAACUCGACUCCGUGAAGCUGGAUUCGCUAGUAAUCGCGCAUCAGCCAUGGCGCGGUGAAUACGUUCCCGGGCCUU